GAUGAACGCUGGCGGCGUGCUUAACACAUGCAAGUCGAACGGGAAUUAUCUUAUUGAAACUUCUGUCGAUUUAAUUUAAUUCUAGUGGCGGACGGGGGAGUAACGCGUGGGUAACCUGCCUUAUACAGGGGGAUAACAGUCAGAAAUGGCUGCUAAUACCGCAUAAGCGCACAGAGCUGCAUGGCUCAGUGUGAAGAACUCCGGUGGUAUAAGAUGGACCCGCGUUGGAUUAGCUGGUUGGUGGGGUAACGGCCCACCAAGGCGACGAUCCAUAGCCGGCCUGAGAGGGUGAACGGCCACAUUGGGACUGAGACACGGCCCAGACUCCUACGGGAGGCAGCAGUGGGGAAUAUUGCACAAUGGGGGAAACCCUGAUGCCGCGACGCCGCGUGAAGGAAGAAGUAUCUCGGUAUGUAAACUUCUAUCAGCAGGGACGAUAGUGACGGUACCUGACUAAGAAGCCCCGGCUAACUACGUG
rnacentral:rRNA from 1 species